rnacentral:rRNA from 1 species
AGAUUACUUCGGUUUGAAGUCUUUUAUGACUGAGUGGCGGACGGGUGAGUAACGCGUGGGUAACCUGCCUCAUACAGGGGGAUAGCAGCUGGAAACGGCUGGUAAUACCGCAUAAGCGCACAGUACCACAUGGUACAGUGUGAAAAACUCCGGUGGUAUGAGAUGGACCCGCGUCUGAUUAGCUUGUUGGCGGGGUAACGGCCCACCAAGGCGACGAUCAGUAGCCGACCUGAGAGGGUGACCGGCCACAUUGGGACUGAGACACGGCCCAGACUCC